rnacentral:misc_RNA from 1 species
AAGUCGUAACAAGGUUUCCGUAGGUGAACCUGCGGAAGGAUCAUUAGAAAUAAUCCGGCAUAGCCGGUAUAAAAUUCUACCUACCUUGUGUGCAAACAAUGAAAAAGAGAGAAAAUUGGAUUCUUUUUUUAGUAUUCCAACUUCUCUAAAAUUUUUAUAAACUCCAUCAAAUUUUUAAUUGAAAACAUUUUUUUUUAAUAAAAAACAUUAUACAACUUUCAACAACGGAUCUCUUGGCUCUC